AGAGCAUUUUUAGGUGAAGUAUUAUGAAAAAAUUUAGAUGUUGGUGUGAAAAAUGAAGUUUUCAGCUAACGUUGACAAGAAACAUGUUUUGUAAAGGGAAGAGCGAUUUUCAAAAUUUUCCAUAUUCUACAGACUUGCUAUCCCUUUUAAAAUACGUUAGACACAAAAAAGAGGUUAAGAGAGUCAAGAAUGUCCGAGAGGGUCAAAAAUCGGAGUAAUGGAAGAUUUUCCCCAGUUGAUCUCCCGUACGAUCGCAUGGGCUACUCACCCACGCGGUCGCGUAGGUGAUCCAUAUUGGACCGGGGACCUUUGGUCCCUUCCAUGCAACCGCAAAGUUGUGAUGAUUGGGAUAAUUUAACCCUCAACCGACCACUUAAACGCAUUAUCCAAAACCUCCCCAAUUUGAAACCUUAGGGAAUAUCUUUCCCAGAUACUCAAUUUCUUCCCAAAUGUUUCCUUCAGUUUGUCCAAAUUUCACGAGGGACAUUAAUAUUCGUAUCGUUCAUGCUUCAAUUCACAAUGAAUCACCAUUGUGAAACAUAUAUAUUCAAGAAUAUCAAGGAUGCCACUAAGAGGAGCAUAAAAGGAACGGGGAAAGGUGGCCUCCUCAUCGACCAUAGCACUGACUCAUGUUGAUAAAGUGAGAUGAGGAUAUUCUUUACUCUAGAGCAUUGAGCUCAAUUCAAGUAGGUCAUAUGCUGAUAGGCUGUCUUGCCCGAAUGACAAGUAAUUAUAGGAGAUUUUGAGGGCAAGACAUUUAAACGUUGAUAUAGAGAUCCAGUUGGCAGAAGGUCAUCGACACAUCUCAUCCCAUAUACAAGACUUUAAUGCAGGAGUUAUGUGCAGAUUUCAACAGGGAAAUUGAUGUGCCAGGCUCUAAACAUGCAUACCAGACAUGGGUCAGAGAUAAAUGGAUCAUGCUCACGCCUGAGGUAACAGAUCAUUUUAUGGGAUGAUUAGGGACAAUAUUAUGCAUUACUCUUGGUAGACAACUAGCUUGAGUUAGCACAACCGAAUGGCAUUCUAACGAACUGACCAAGUCUAUUGCCACCAGAUUGAUCCCACCUCUCAUCGGAACACUUUCAACAAUGCAAAGGCGAGGUUUCUAAUUUGGUUCGAGAGAUGAAGGUUGACUUGGGGCACAUAUAUUUACAAUCUAAUCUUGGGGUUAGUGAUAUUGGCGGACCGUCAUCACACAUUUAUCUUCUCAAGCCUCAUUAGUAGAAUCUGCAAAGUAUCAGGUGUGAGACUCUUACAAGAGACCACCUACAACUGAGAGCCCUCUGAUUGAUCAUAAGACUAUAGAGGCGUUGGCAUGAUCUAGGCAAGAAUACAGAAAGCGUGAGCAAUAACGACAACAACAGCAGGUUGUAGAUGGCCAAGGGGCUGAUAAUGUUGACAUGCCUCUUGUUUCACCACUUGAGCCUUUCGUUGACACAUAGUUGUUUCGCUAGUUGUUAAAAACCUCAACAGGUACUAGUUGGGUUAUUCAGGCUAUGUAACAUGCAUUUAUAGACAUGGAGUUGGGUGUAUGGACUACGCGUACUGAUAUUUAGGUGACUCGACAUGAUAUGGUCUAGACUCAGGAGGAUGUGGCCAGAUAUUAUAAGGAGAUUGAUCUUCUUAUUGAACAGGCAAAUUGUUAUGUGGCACGGGUUGACGAAAUACAGCUACGGUAGACGAGACAUAUGAUAUAGUUCUUGGCAUGCAAGUCAAGAUGGGAACAAUAGUCUCCUAUGAUUAGGGAGAUAUUCUCGCACGUCUAUCUCCACCAUCAGCUUCAGAUCCAUUAGGCUCUACGACUUUUCUACUGUUUCCACCACCACCACUAGACUGAUCAGGGGAGUUCUCCGUAUCCCUCUUCACUCUUGAUUAUGCAUUUUAUUUUCUUACUCUUGUACAUUGAGGGUAAUGCACGUGUUAAGUUUGGGAGUGGCUGAAUAUUCUGACUUAUCAUCGAUUGUAUAUGGUUUACUGCUUUAGUGUGAUUGUCAAGUGUAAGAAAAAUUCGAAAAUAGAAGAAAAUCACAAAAAUAUUUUCUUUUAGGCUUUUUAUUACUUUUGUGCGUUUUUGUGGGCUAGAUGACCUUGCCGAUAAUGAUGUAUAUAUUGGAAUUAUGCGUUAGACAUAAGAAUUAUGGAAAUAUUACAUUUUGAGUUGA